AGGAGGGGCGGGGCCGAGCGGGCGGCCCCGCCCCCCACGCCGCCGCGAGGAAGGGGCGGUGGCGGGGGGACCCAGCGCACGGCACGUGGCCUGCGGUGGGGUCGCCCAGCUAGCGCUCGGCCGGGCCCGGGCCCGCUGGGCGGCCUCGGGUGGGACGUCGGCCUUCCCAGGGCCCCCCUCUCCCCCCCCCCCCCCCCGCCGCUCGUCGCCAGAGAGGGGGAAGGUGGCGCCCUCCCGCGAUGGGAUCCGGAACUUAAAAUCCGGAAACCACCAGGCCACGCCUGGCCUAACAUCGCAGGGUGGCCCUGAGCGCGGUGCUGGGCCUCACAGGCCUCCAUAUUCCCGACUCGGUUUAGUUCAGGCCCCCUCCAGGCCUGUGAACGUGCUGUUCUCUCUCUCCGGGACACUAUCCCCAGCUGCCCCAGGGCCAGCCCUGGCUUACUGUUUGGCUGUCAGGUCAGCUUUUCCCUAGUCAAGUCCUGCCCUAAGCCACCACCCCCCCCCCCCAGGCUGACCCUGUGUCUUCGUAGUACUUCGCUUGGAGCUGAAGUCAUCCCGUGUGUUGUAUCGGGGAUGGUCUGCCCCCAGCCCCACCGCAUCCCAGUGGACUGUGGACUCCCUGGGGGCAGGACUCUGCUCUGAAGUCCCUUGCAUGCAUGCCCGGAGCCUAGCACAGAGCCUGGCAUACAGUAGGUGCUCAAUACUUGUUGAAUGAGUGAAUUUAACAGUAUCUCCUCUGUGUAGGCCCACGAUGGUCCCUGGGGGGCUCUCUGGCCCUAGCCUCCUGGAAUGGUCUCGGACCCGGAUGUGAGCUCCUGAUAAUCUGACUUGGUCAGGCUGCCAGGUGAUGUGUUCCUGCAGCAUGGUUCUGGCCAGGCGGAGAACUGGGCCUUCCAGGCAGAAGGAACUGGGCAGAGCCUGGAGGUCUCCUUCGGAUCAGAGGGCAGGUGAUGGACUGUUCCCUGUUGUUGCCCGGCCCGGUCUACCUACAAUAAGGUAACUUCUCCUUGGAUGCUGUGUGAAUGCCCUGAUCCCCAACAAAUUUUGAUCCAGUGGUUUUAGCAUGUACAGAUGCUGCUUGCCUGAAUCAAUUAUCACUGAGGUGGUUUAACUGGUUUACAAGGUGCUUUGGGUUGGGGGAAGACCUUCAUCCUAAUCAUUCCUCAAGGUCCUUCCAUGAGCCAAAGAACAGAAACUCCCCCCAAGCCUGCUUGCCUUCUGGGCACGCCCUGCCAGCUGGGAAUCCCCUACUCUAGUCAGGUGUUUGAUCCUUGGGAGAGACUGAGAGGAUGGAGAAACCAUUAGUUUCAUUUGCUAGAAGAGGAAGCUGAGGCCCAGGGAGAGGAGAGAAGUGGCCAGUAGUGGAAUAGCUCCUCCCGAGGAGUCUCUGGGCUCCAUGGACGAGGGUGGGCGUUUGGGAAGGAGACUUUCAGGCAGAAUAAUGGGCAGGGUUUCUGGGUCCAGGUUGGGGCUUUCUGACCCCUGACAGCCCCCCUCCCCGGUCCCUGUUAUCUGUGUAAGAUCUGGGUUGCCAGAUUUCGCAGAUAAAAAUAUAGGGUGCCCGGUUAAAUUUGAAUUUUAGUUAAACAAUGAACUUUUUUUUUAGUAGUUAAGUAUGUCCCAGUUGCUGCACCAAAAAUUACACUAAAAUCUCAUGAUGUCUAGGAUGUUUGGACUGACACUCGGGUUGCCAAGUAAGAUAUAGGACAUCCAGUUCAAUUCUAAUUUCAGGGUACCGAUGAAUAAUUUUUAAACUCAGAUGUAAAGAAUAAAAGUAUGUGUGGCAGGUGUUAUCAGAUGCAAGAAAUGAGGCAGGUGACAUUGGUGGGCCUUGAAUGCUGGGAUGAGCUGCCCUUCUGUCAGAGUAGAUGACACCCCUGGAAGAAGGGACUUGAGCUUGGAAGGCCCUUGCCAGACAGUUCUAGAAAGCUCCCUCUGGCGACAUCUGGCUGGCUCAGUUGGUAGAGCAUGCGACUGUCGAUCUCGGGUCGUGAGUCCAAGCCCCAAAGAGAAAGCUUCCUCUGGCUGUGGGAGGCGGGGAGUGUGGGCAGAGGCGAGCAAGACUGAAGGUCAGGGGGCAGCUGCAGUGACCAGUGACAUGCCAUAAGGUUCAGACUAAUGCUCAGGGGAUGUAAAGAGUGUUCAGGGGGCAGGACCUAUGGGGCCUGAGGUCCCCCAGCUCAGGAAGGUGGGCAGGAGGCCUCUGGCCUGGCAUGAGCGGGGUACGUGCUUAGACAUGGAAUUGCGUGGGCAAAGAAAGAGCAAAGUUCAAAGCUUCCUGGCAACACGGCCAGACUGCCAGAUGGCACGUCGUGUGAGCAGCAGGGGGAAGGGCGGAGAAAGAGGGAAAGAGAGAAUCCCAAGAAGGCUCCGCACUGUCAGCGCAGAACCCAAUGCGGGGCUCAAACCCGAGAACUGGGAGAUCAUGACCUGAGCCGAAAUCAAGAGUCAGAAGCUUAGCCAACUGAGCCACCCAGGCGCCCCUCAUUUGACAAUUUCUUUGAGUGCCAAUCACACCCCUAGUCCCUGUGAGAUCCGAGGGCAUAUGGCGGGGAACAGGCUAGGACUCCCUCAAGGAGCUGCAAAGUUCCCUGUUUACUACUUGGGUGACCUAGAGCUUGGCCUCUCCGAGUCUCAGUUUCAUCGUCGGUAAAAUGGCUACAAUAACGACGUGCUCCUAAUGGCAGUCUUGAAAGGAUCCAAUCAGAUCAUCUACACUCUGGGAGGAAGCCUCUAUGCACCUGUACACUCGAGCGAGAGUUAUGCCCCACCUCCCCAAGUUCAGGGCAGCUGCAUAAGUUAUUUGGAAUUGUUCUAUCUGUGAGAUUUGUCUCCUCUCCCCUCUUCAUUUAUUUAUUCAAUCAUUGAUUUAUAACAGUA